rnacentral:rRNA from 1 species
GAUCAUGGCUCAGGAUGAACGCUGGCGGCGUGCUUAACACAUGCAAGUCGAACGGGAAACCUUUUAUUGAAGCUUCGGCAGAUUUAAAUUGUUUCUAGUGGCGGACGGGUGAGUAACGCGUGGGUAACCUGCCCUAUACAGGGGGAUAACAACCAGAAAUGGUUGCUAAUACCGCAUAAGCGCACAGGACCGCAUGGUCCGGUGUGAAAAACUCCGGUGGUAUAGGAUGGACUCGCGUUGGAUUAGCCAGUUGG